rnacentral:rRNA from 1 species
UAUGUAGGUGUCCUGAUGAGUCGAAUGUGAAAUCCCUUGGCUUAACCAAGGAACUGCAUUCGAUACUGUCAGGAUUGAGUAUGGAAGAGGAGAGUGGAAUUCCCGGUGUAAGGGUGAAAUCUGUAGAUAUCGGGGGGAACACCAGUGGCGAAAGCGGCUCUCUGGUCCAAUACUGACACUGAAAUACGAAAGCAAGGGGAGCAAACAGGAUUAGAUACCCGAGUAGUCC